GACGAACGCUGGCGGCGUGCUUAACACAUGCAAGUCGAACGGUAAGGCCCUUCGGGGUACACGAGUGGCGAACGGGUGAGUAACACGUGGGUGAUCUGCCCUGCACUUCGGGAUAAGCCUGGGAAACUGGGUCUAAUACCGGAUAGGACCACUGCCUGCAUGGGUGGUGGUGGAAAGCUUUUGCGGUGUGGGAUGGGCCCGCGGCCUAUCAGCUUGUUGGUGGGGUGAUGGCCUACCAAGGCGACGACGGGUAGCCGGCCUGAGAGGGUGACCGGCCACACUGGGGCUGGGAGACGGCCCAGACUCCUACGGGAGGCAGCAGUGGGGAAUAUUGCACAAUGGGCGCAAGCCUGAUGCAGCGACGCCGCGUGAGGGAUGACGGCCUUCGGGUUGUAAACCUCUUUCAGCACCGAGGAAGCGCAAGUGACGGUAGGUGCAGAAGAAGGACCGGCCAACUACGUGCCAGCCGCCGCAGUAAUAC
rnacentral:rRNA from 1 species